AGGCCUGCCCGAGACCAACCAUCGAGAAAUGGCACCAGUCCCGCCCCACGUUGGCUUGAUUUCCCGCAUCAUGACCAGGUUGGCUCGAUUACUCGCACGCUUGGCUUGUCGACGGGCGAGUUUUACCGCACCACGACCACAGUCCCGCCCCACGUUGGCUUGAUUUCCCGCAUGACGACCAGGCUGGCUCGAUUACUCGCACACUUGGCUGGUCGUUGGCGAGUUUUCCCGCACCACGACCACAGUCCCGCCCCACGUUGGCUUGUUUUCCCGCAUGACGACCAGGCUGGCUCGAUUACUCGCACACUUGGCUAGUCGUUGGCGAGUUUUCCCGCACCACGACCACAGUUCCGCCCCACGUUGGCUUGUUUUCCCGCAUGACGACCAGGCUGGCUCGAUUACUCGCACGCUUGGCUGGUCGUUGGCGAGUUUUCUCGCACCACGACCACAGUCCCGCCCCACGUUGGCUUGUUUUCCCGCAUGACGACCAGGAUGGCUCGAUUACUCGCACCCUUGGCUGGUCGUUGGCGAGUUUUCUCGCACCACGACCACAGUCCCGCCCCACGUUGGCUUGUUUUCCCGCAUGACGACCAGGCUGGCUCGAUUACUCGCACACUUGGCUAGUCGUUGGCGAGUUUUCCCGCACCACGACCACAGUUCCGCCCCACGUUGGCUUGUUUUCCCGCAUGACGACCAGGCUGGCUCGAUUACUCGCACGCUUGGCUGGUCGUUGGCGAGUUUUCUCGCACCACGACCACAGUCCCGCCCCACGUUGGCUUGUUUUCCCGCAUGACGACCAGGAUGGCUCGAUUACUCGCACCCUUGGCUGGUCGUUGGCGAGUUUUCUCGCACCACGACCACAGUCCCGCCCCACGUUGGCUUGUUUUCCCGCUUGACGACCAGGCUGGCUCGAUUACUCGCACCCUUGGCUGGUCGUUGGCGAGUUUUCUCGCACCACGACCACAGUCCCGCCCCACGUUGGCUUGUUUUCCCGCAUGACGACCAGGCUGGCUCGAUUACUCGCACGCUUGGCUGGUCGUUGGCGAGUUUUCCCGCACCACCACCACAGUCCCUCCCCACGAUGGCUUGUUUUCCCGCAUGACGACCAGGCUGGCUCGAUUACUCGCACGCUUGGCUGGUCGUUGGCGAGUUUUCCCGCACCACCACCACAGUCCUGCCCCACGAUGGCUUGUUUUCCCGCAUGACGACCAGGCUGGCUCGAUUACUCGCACGCUUGGCUGGUCGUUGGCGAGUUUUCCCGCACCACGACCACAGUCCCGCCCCACGAUGGCUUGUUUUCCCGCAUGACGACCAGGCUGGCUCGAUUACUCGCACACUUGGCUGGUCGACUGGCGAGUUUUCCCGCACCACGACCACAGUCCCGCCCCACGAUGGCUUGUUUUCCCGCAUGACGACCAGGCUGGCUCGAUUACUCGCACACUUGGCUGGUCGACUGGCGAGUUUUCCCGCACCACGACCACUGCCAAGGGCCAUCGGCGUGCGAGGAAAAAAAAAUAUGACUCCUCAGAAAAUCAAUGUCUGUUCCUGGAAUUUAACUUUUUGUGCAGAAUGUAUAUAUAGGGGGGAGGUGAACUAGAGAGUGGGUGCCGAUACUAACCGAUGCUGCUAAGUAACAUUUCGAAAGGGCUGGCCCCCCCGGCCCGACCCCAGGUUUUUUCCGGUUUUCCUAGGGAAAAAAAUAACCGGUGGGUAGGCAUGUUCUGAUCGCUAGGCACGUUUAUUUUAAACUGAACGAGAAGGUUUUUUAAAACUAAACAAACGUGCACGACUAUCAGAACAUGCCUAUCCAAGGCAUGUCCUGAUCUGUGGGAACGUUAUUUUUAAAGCGAACGAGAAGGUUUUUUAAAGCUAAACGAACGUGCCCAACGAUCAGAACAUGCCGGCCGGGCCCCCUUGCCCGACCCCAGGUUUUUGCCGGGUUUUCCUAGGGAAAAAAAAACCGGCGGAUAGGCAUGUUCUGAUUGCAUGGCACGUUAUUUUUAAACCGAACGAGAAGGUUUUUUAAAGCUAAACAAACGUGCCCGACUAUCAGAACAUGCCUAUCCAAGGCAUGUCUUGAUUUGUGGGCACGUUAUUUUUAAAACGAACGAGAAGGUUUUUUAAAGCUAAACAAACGUGCCUGAUGAUCAGAACAUGCCUAGCUAACAGUUUGCUUUCUUGUUUCCGGUCG
rnacentral:rRNA from 1 species